ACGCACGCUGGCGGCGUGCUUAACACAUGCAAGUCGAACGGAAAGGCCCUGCUUUUGUGGGGUGCUCGAGUGGCGAACGGGUGAGUAACACGUGAGUAACCUGCCCUUGACUUUGGGAUAACUUCAGGAAACUGGGGCUAAUACCGGAUAGGAGCUCCUGCUGCAUGGUGGGAGUUGGAAAGUUUCGGCGGUUGGGGAUGGACUCGCGGCUUAUCAGCUUGUUGGUGGGGUAGUGGCUUACCAAGGCUUUGACGGGUAGCCGGCCUGAGAGGGUGACCGGCCACAUUGGGACUGAGAUACGGCCCAGACUCCUACGGGAGGCAGCAGUGGGGAAUAUUGCACAAUGGGCGGAAGCCUGAUGCAGCAACGCCGCGUGCGGGAUGACGGCCUUCGGGUUGUAAACCGCUUUCGCCUGUGACGAAGCGUGAGUGACGGUAAUGGGUAAAGAAGCACCGGCUAACUACGUG
rnacentral:rRNA from 1 species